UACGGAGGGUGCGAGCGUUGUCCGGAAUCAUUGGGCGUAAAGGGCGCGUAGGUGGCCCGGUCAGUCUUUGGUGAAAGCGCGGGGCUCAACCCUGCGUCGGCCAGGGAUACUGCCGCGGCUCGAGCACUGUAGAGGCAGGCGGAAUUCCGGGUGUAGUGGUGAAAUGCGUAGAGAUCCGGAGGAACACCAGUGGCGAAGGCGACACGCUGGGCCGUACCUGACACUGAUGCGCGACAGCAUGGGGAGCAAACAGG
rnacentral:rRNA from 1 species